rnacentral:rRNA from 1 species
CAGCCGCCGCGGGAAUACGUAGGUGGCAAGCGUUGUCCGGAAUUAUUGGGCGUAAAGCGCGCGCAGGUGGUUUAAUAAGUCUGAUGUGAAAGCCCACGGCUCAACCGUGGAGGGUCAUUGGAAACUGUUAAACUUGAGUGCAGGAGAGAAAAGUGGAAUUCCACGUGUAGCGGUGAAAUGCGUAGAGAUGUGGAGGAACACCAGUGGCGAAGGCGACUCUCUGGUCUGUAACUGACGCUGAGGAGCGAAAGCGUGGGGAGCGAACAGGAUUAGAUACCCCUGUAGUCCCUGUCUCUUAUAC